GUGCUCCUUUUGGCAGCACAUAUACUAAAAUUGAAAUAAUACAGAGAUUAGCAUGGUCCCUGUGCAGGGAUGACAUAUAAAUUCAUAAAGCAUUUCAUAUUUAA
rnacentral:snRNA from 1 species